rnacentral:misc_RNA from 1 species
CAAAAAAAAGGGGGGUGAAUGCGUGUGAGGUCUGUCUCUGACUUUGUGACCCAAAUGUGUGCACGCCGGAUCUGGUCCUCUGUCUCACAUAGAUCGGUCUCACUUUUUUGUGCUACACCGCGCGGGUACCCUUUGCGAUGCGUGCCUUUUCACAGAAACCCCUUUUAUUAAAGUGUAGAAUGAUCCCACUUUGCGACGACACGCAAUCUCUAGGCUUUCAGCAACGGAUCUCUUGGCUCUCGUAUCAAUGAAGAAGGCAAUGAAAUGCGACACGUAAUGAGAAUUGCUUAAUUCAGUGAAUCAUCGAAUCUUUGAACGCACCUUGCGCCCCUUGUUAUUCCGAGGGGCACACGCGUUUGAUUGCCGUGAAAAUCUCAUCCUUCUCGGAUUUCUUCUGUACACCGAAAGACGCUUGGACUUUGCAGGCCUUUGCUGGCAUCUCUCUAGAGCCAGCUCCUCUUUGUGAAUUAGCGCUGGUCCUCUUUGUCGAUCCUUGAAAUGUGAUAAGAUGUUUCCAUGACUCAAUUUCUGGCUCUGUUGCAUUUAGACACCUGCUUCUAAGCGUCUCGACCAGACGAUGUUUGAAAGUGUCUCCCCUUCUCGGGAGACUCUAUCGACCGCACGAAUCCUUGACAUCAAAUCGGGUGAGACUACCCGCUGAACUUUAAGCAUAUCAAUAAGCGGAAGAAAACUUGGUCAUUUAAAGUAAGAAGCAAAUCCAAUUGCAAACGCAGUGAGGAGCGAGAGGUG